UUUGAGGUGCAGAUAGCUUGCUUUAUUUUGUUGUUACUAUCUCAAGGAGGUCCAACAAUUAUAACUAACAAUUGAAUUUAUACUUGCAUGAAAAGAACUACAUCAAAUUGACAUUUUGGGCAAUUAGUAAUAUUGUUUAAAAUUUAACAACAGCUUUAUUUUGUUGUUGUUCUUUACUUUUUGCUGUGGCUCAUUGCUUAGGUGCCCAGGUUUUUCAGGUGCAAUUAAAAUUUAGAACUACCACACAAAGGCAUUGGCUGCACUCUGGGACCUCCAAGAGUUGGCACUGCUCUGGCAUAGGAAUACUUGAAUAGCUUGGUUAAAUGAAGGGAUGGCCAGGAGAUGUUACUUUUCCAAGCUAUUCAGGCACUCCUUAUGUCAGAGACAGCGUAAAAUGAGCGAACAAAGUGUUGGCCGUUACACUUUGCUCUGGUAAUAUUUGUCAUGAUAAUUUUGUGUGACAUCAUCAGAGAAAAUGUAAGACGUAUUGGUGCACAUAUCAAGUGAUAUGCACAGCAUCAUUCUCUUUUAGGUGGACAGGACAUCUUCAAUGGGGAUUUUCUCAACCCACUGAGGCAUACUUAGACAUCAACAGUAUGUUGAGGCACAAAGAUUGAUUAAAUGUUGAGCAGGGUAUUCGUUCCAUAAGAAACUUUCUCCUACCAACAGUUAGUUUCAAAACUUACAUUGUAAAAUGUCAUAAAAUAAAUGGUACAAAACUUUAUAACCGUUAAUCCGGCUAUAUACAGUAUGUACAUGUCACUAGCAAAUGUAUUAUAUUCUUAGGUCAACAAUUAUGAAAAGAUUGAAAUGAAUAUUUUUGAACUUUGACUCAUUUAGGUUGAUACAAAACUACUUUUUUUUCUUUAAAUAUUUACAGUUCAGAAAGAUUAGUCCGUGUGAAACGUUUGCGAAAAGUUAAGAAUGAGUGUAGAGUAUAAGGGCACAGGCCCUCUUAAAUGGAUCGAAU
rnacentral:lncRNA from 1 species